rnacentral:rRNA from 1 species
UUUUUCAUUUCCCCAAGGCCAGGAGCAUGUGGUUUAAUUCGAAGCAACGCGAAGAACCUUACCAGGUCUUGACAUCCAGUGAAUCCCUUAGAGAUAAUGGAGUGCCCUUCGGGGAACAGUGAGACAGGUGGUGCAUGGUUGUCGUCAGCUCGUGUCGUGAGAUGUUGGGUUAAGUCCCGCAACGAGCGCAACCCUUGUGAAUAGUUGUUACGAAAGAGCACUCUAUUCAGACCGCCGCUGACAAAGCGGAGGAAGGUGGGGAUGACGUCAAAUCAUCAUGCCCCUUAUGACCUGGGCUACACACGUAUUACAAUGGUCGUCACCAGAGGGAAGCAAGGCCGGGAGGUGGAGCGAACCCCUAAACACGAUCUCAGAUUCGGAUUGCAGGCUGCAACUCGCCUGCAUGACUAGAGGAUCGCUGUUUCUCUCGUAUCCGCAUGCCACGGACUGCCG